rnacentral:rRNA from 1 species
AGGAACUGCAUUUAAAACUAGUGAUCUAGAAUUUGGUAGAGGAUAGUAGAAUUUCCAGUGUAGAGGUGAAAUUCGUAGAUAUUGGAAAGAAUACCAGUGGCGAAGGCGACUAUCUGGGCCAUUUUUGACGCUGAGAUGCGAAAGCGUGGGUAGCAAACAGGAUUAGAUACCCUGGUAGUCCACGCAGUAAACGAUGAGUGCUAGUCGCUGGGUCAUUAGAUUCGGUGUCGAAGCUAACGCAUUAAGCACUCCGCCUGGGAAGUACGGUCGCAAGAUUAAAACUCAAAUAAAUUGACGGGGGCCCGCACAAGCGGUGGAGCAUGUGGUUUAAUUCGAAGCAACGCGAAGAACCUUACCAGUCCUUGACAUGGUGUGUUUAAAUUACAGUAUUGUAAUUUUUCAGUUCGGCUGGCACACACACAGGUGCUGCAUGGCUGUCGUCAGCUCGUGUCGUGAGAUGUUGGGUUAAGUCCCGCAACGAGCGCAACCCUCAUUUUUAGUUGCCAGCAGGUUAAGCUGGGCACUCUAAAGAAACUGCCGGUGAUAAGCUGGAGGAAGGCGGGGAUGACGUCAAGUCCUCAUGGCCCUUACGGGCUGGGCUACACACGUGCUACAAUGGUGGUGACAGAGGGAAGCAAUUUUGUAAAAAAAAGCAAAUCCCAAAAAGCCAUCUCAGUUCAGAUUGGACUCUGCAACUCGAGUCCAUGAAGUUGGAAUCGCUAGUAAUCGUAGAUCAGCAUGCUACGGUGAAUACGUUCUCGGGCCUUGUACACACCGCCCGUCACGCCAUGGGAGUUGGUUUUACCUUAAGCCGGUGCGCUAACCGCAAGGAAGCAGCCGUCCACGGUAGGGUCAGCGACU